CGCUCUCCUGUCGUGCAGUCUCUCCUGCUGUAAUUGCUCGUGGCUCGGCUUGUGGCUGGAGCACUGAAGUCCUCCGAGUAGUGCGCGAAGCGUGUGCAAGCUUCUGCUACGGAGAUCUUUGCGCCAUCACGAUUCAGAUUGAGGCUACGUGCGCAGUAUAACCACUCGGGCGGGGAGUGACCAGCAACUAGGGUGACUCCGCGGCAUCACAGGCUGCUGCUCUGUUUGGGAACAUAGUCCCCUUUUUGGGUUACUGUUUCCACUGGCUCGAUAGGUCGUGGGCUACUGUGAUCGGGUUCUAUCGACGCAGGCAGACCCCCAGCAACGCGCAAUAUCAUCUGCUGACUACCUGCACUCGCGGCAACACCGCUGACCGCAUAGGCUAUUUUGUGUUUGAGUUUUGAUUUGAUUUAUUUUGUGGUUGCAUAGGUGGCAAUGUGCAACACCCCUAUUUUGUGAUUAUUUUGUGGACGUGGGGGAUUCGUGAGAGGCAUACCCCUCGCCUGUUUCUGCCAUAUUAUUUCUGUUUUCUUAUCAAAUUUAACUGAAGACAUUCUGUGUUCUUUUGUUUUUGUUUCUUUUGGUUUGGGUUGAUUAAUUUUGUGGGACCUGACCUGACUGGGUCUUCUGAGGUCUGUUCCUCAAAUUGCAGCAGCCUAACUGCAUUGGGGGGACUGGCUUCUCCAGUCCCAGUGGGUCUCUGUCUGACUGUCUGUGUGUGUGUGUGUGUGUGUGUGUGUGGUGUGUCUGUGUGUGUGUGAGCGUGUGUGUUCAGUGGUGGUUACUUAACAUCUGUCUACUGUAUCCCUUCAACCAGGGUGGCUGCACUCCUUCGGCGCAGUGUCUCCUCGAGCAGCAUUGACAUAGCAAAGUUAAGUAGAGUGGAAUGCAUUAGUCUGUACUGAAUUGACAUAGCCUAUACACUGUACUCGAUCCUGUGUCUCAAGCCCCUUUUCUCUCUUCUAUAUUUUGGACAGGUGUGGUCGGAGCGAGGCAACCGGCAGGCAGACCUUGGUGGUGGACCCCUCUUCACUUUCUUUGCUGUGCCGCACGACGGGUGUUUAUCUUAUU